rnacentral:rRNA from 1 species
AUGCAAUUAUUUACUCUUUUUUGCCAUGGAAAAAUUUACCUUUAUUUGUACAUGGCAAAAUUUACCUUUUAUUUGCCAUGCCAAAAUAAAAGAAAAUUCAUGGAGCAUGGCAAAUUCAACUUUAUACUUUGCCAUGUCAACUUUUCCUUUUUUCUUGCCAUGGCAAAUUUUUACCUUAAUUGCCAUGGCAACUUUACUUGUAAGUACAUGGCAAAUUUUACUCUUUUUUGCCAUGCCAAAAAAUUUACUUUUAAGUUGCCAUGGAUUUUUUUUACCUUAGUUGCCAUAGCAACUUUACUUGUAAGUACAUGGCAAAUUUACUUGAACAUACAUGGAAAUUAA